GCCGGGCAUGGUGGUGCAUGCCUGUAAUCCAAGAAACUUGGGAGGCUGAGGCAGGAGGAUUAUGGAUUCAAAUCCAGCCUCAGUGAUUUAGUGAGGCCCUAAGCAACUCAGUGAGACCCUGUCUCUA
rnacentral:sRNA from 1 species